rnacentral:rRNA from 1 species
ACUGAAAAUCUUCGGAAUUGUAGUCUGUCGAGGUGAAGUCUGUUUUAUAAUAAUAAAGUAAAAUCUUUAAGAAAACUGUACCAUGGAGGGUGAUAGUCCCGUUUAUACUUUAUUAUAAUAAGACGUUAUGACUCAUCUUCAAAGAGUCGAGUUGCUUGGGAUUGCAGCUCUAAGUGGGUGGUAAAUUCCAUCUAAAGCUAAAUAUUGGUGGGAGACCGAUAGCGAACAAGUACCAUGAGGGAAAGAUGCAAAGAACUUUGAAAAGAGAGUUAAAGAGUACCUGAAAUUGCUGAAAUGGAACCGAUAGGAGAUAGUGUUAACAUAUAAAUAUUUUAUACAACUUGCAUGCAAGUUGUUGUGAUAUUGUAUGUAAGUUAAUCUUUUUUAAUGUUGUAAGAGAGGUAGUGAUGACAGUCGUAAGAUGUAAUCAUUUAUAACCAUUACAAUUUUUGAAAGACAUUAACAAAAUAUUUCUUAUCAACCCGUCUUGAAACACGGACCAAGGAGUCUAACAUGUGUGCAAGUACUUUAGGUUAAAUCCUAUAGUGCGUAAUGAAAGUAAACAUGUGGUAGGAUACUAUUAGAAAAGUUUCACUAUCGACCGACCAUGAUCCUAUGGGUGAAAGGUUUGAGUAUGAGCAUACAUGUUGGGACCCGAAAGAUGGUGAACUAUGCCUGAGUAGGAUGAAGCCAGGGGAAACUCUGGUGGAGGUCCGUAGAGAUUCUAACGUGCAAAUUGAUCUUCAAACUUGGGUAUAGGGGCGAAAGACUAAUCGAACCAUCUAGUAGCUGGUUCCUCCCGAAAUUUCCCUUAGGAUAGCUGCAACCGACUAUAAAUAAAUAGUUUUAUCAGGUAAAGCGAAUGAUUAGAGGCAUCAGGGGUGGAACGUCCUUGACCUAUUCUCAAACUUUAAAUGGAUAAGAUCGUUGUGUUAUUUAAUUUAAACACAUACGUUGAAUAACUGGUUGCUAGUGGGCCAAUCUGGGUAAGCUAGAUUGGCGAUGCGGGAUGAUCCGAACGUCAAGUUAAAGUGCCAAAAUAUUCGCUCACCUAGAUCCC